GUAACGGCGAGUGAAGCGGCAACAGCUCAAAUUUGAAAUCUGGCCCCUCGGGCCCGAGUUGUAAUUUGUAGAGGAUGCUUUUGGUGCGGUGCCGCCCGAGUUCCCUGGAACGGGACGCCAUAGAGGGUGAGAGCCCCGUCUGGCUGGCCACCAAGCCUCUGUAAAGCUCCUUCGACGAGUCGAGUAGUUUGGGAAUGCUGCUCUAAAUGGGAGGUAUAUGUCUUCUAAAGCUAAAUAUUGGCCAGAGACCGAUAGCGCACAAGUAGAGUGAUCGAAAGAUGAAAAGCACUUUGAAAAGAGGGUUAAAUAGUACGUGAAAUUGUUGAAAGGGAAGCGCUCAUGACCAGACUUGGGCUUGGCGAAUCAUCCGGCGUUCUCGCCGGUGCACUUUGCCUCGCCCAGGCCAGCAUCAGUUCGUCGCGGGGGAUAAAGGCUUCGGGAACGUGGCUCCUCCGGGAGUGUUAUAGCCCGUUGCGUAAUACCCUGCGGUGGACUGAGGUUCGCGCAUCUGCAAGGAUGCUGGCGUAAUGGUCAUCAGCGACCCGUCUUGAAACACGGACCAAGGAGUCGUCUUCGUAUGCGAGUGUUCGGGUGUCAAACCCCUACGCGUAAUGAAAGUGAACGCAGGUGAGAGCUUCGGCGCAUCAUCGACCGAUCCUGAUGUUCUCGGAUGGAUUUGAGUAAGAGCAUACGGGGCCGGACCCGAAAGAAGGUGAACUAUGCCUGUAUAGGGUGAAGCCAGAGGAAACUCUGGUGGAGGCUCGCAGCGGUUCUGACGUGCAAAUCGAUCGUCAAAUAUGGGCAUGGGGGCGAAAGACUAAUCGAACCU
rnacentral:rRNA from 1 species